rnacentral:antisense_RNA from 1 species
CUUCACCGAACCCAGCCACAGGGGCUCGUCGGUCUUCCGUCCCUGUCCGUAGGUGGCGAGCAGCGCCUCGGCCUC